rnacentral:misc_RNA from 1 species
UUAGCUUAUUUUUUUUUGUUUUCAAUCCAGUAUUCGCCGCUCAGAAGAGCAGACUCCGCUAUAAAAUAACUAAAGAGUUUGGCGCUGCCGGCAGGCGGUCCCGCUGGCCCAAAAGCCAGCCGGACCCGCCGGGUGCAGGAUCGACGAGGCUCUCGCCCCGCCAAAGCUGCGCACCGGCUGACCCGCCGAAGCAACGCCGCAAUAGGGGUAUAAUGGUAAGGUUCACAGGGGUUUGGAGUGCUGAGACUCGCUAAUGAUCCCUCCGCUGGUUCACCAACGGAGA